rnacentral:lncRNA from 1 species
AGCACGACCGCAUGAGAUGCGGUCCACUGCACAAGGCAUAGUCCACGCAUCGUGUUUCAUACGAUCUAGGUACGGAUGUGUGCAAUCGAGCAGUUGUAGAUGCAUGUGGGUGUGGUCAAAUAGUUCAGUUUGGUUCUAGAGUCCUAACAAGGUCUUAUACGUGAUUUACGCAACUCAAACAUGAUUUUAGGUCUUUAAAAAGAGACA